AUCUGUCUGACAAGUCCCAAAUAGGAUGAAACGCGCGACCUGGAU
rnacentral:hammerhead_ribozyme from 1 species